GUUCUUCGGAACUAGAAACCGGCGCACGGGUGCGUAACGCGUAUGCAAUCUACCUUUUACAGAGGGAUAGCCCAGAGAAAUUUGGAUUAAUACCUCAUAGUAUGUGAGAAUCGCAUGGUUUUCACAUUAAAGUUCCAACGGUAAAAGAUGAGCAUGCGACCCAUUAGCUAGAUGGUAAGGUAACGGCUUACCAUGGCGACGAUGGGUAGGGGUCCUGAGAGGGAGAUCCCCCACACUGGUACUGAGACACGGACCAGACUCCUACGGGAGGCAGCAGUGAGGAAUAUUGGACAAUGGGCGCAAGCCUGAUCCAGCCAUGCCGCGUGCAGGAUGACGGUCCUAUGGAUUGUAAACUGCUUUUGUACAGGAAGAAACACUCCCUCGUGAGGGAGCUUGACGGUACUGUAAGAAUAAGGAUCGGCUAACUCCGUGCCAGCAGCCGCGGUAAUACGGAGGAUCCAAGCGUUAUCCGGAAUCAUUGGGUUUAAAGGGUCCGUAGGCGGUUUAAUAAGUCAGUGGUGAAAGCCCAUCGCUCAACGGUGGAACGGCCAUUGAUACUGUUAAACUUGAAUUAUUAGGAAGUAACUAGAAUAUGUAGUGUAGCGGUGAAAUGCUUAGAGAAUACAUGGAAUACCAAUUGCGAAGGCAGGUUACUACUAAUGGAUUGACGCUGAUGGACGAAAGCGUGGGUAGCGAACAGGAUUAGAUACCCUGGUAGUCCACGCCGUAAACGAUGGAUACUAGCUGUUGGGAGCAAUCUCAGUGGCUAAGCGAAAGUGAUAAGUAUCCCACCUG
rnacentral:rRNA from 1 species